rnacentral:rRNA from 1 species
AAAACUCCGGUGGUGUAAGAUGGACCCGCGUCUGAUUAGCCAGUUGGCGGGGUAACGGCCCACCAAAGCGACGAUCAGUAGCCGGCCUGAGAGGGUGAACGGCCACAUUGGGACUGAGACACGGCCCAAACUCCUACGGGAGGCAGCAGUGGGGAAUAUUGGACAAUGGGGGGAACCCUGAUCCAGCGACGCCGCGUGAGUGAAGAAGUUUUUCGGUAUGUAAAGCUCUAUCAGCAGGGAAGAAAGAAAUGACGGUACCUGACUAAGAAGCCCCGGCUAACUACGUGCCAGCAGCCGCGGUAAUACGUAGGGAGCGAGCGUUGUCCGGAUUUACUGGGUGUAAAGGGUGCGUAGGCGGCUAGGCAAGUCAGAAGUGAAAUCCAUGGGCUUAACCCAUGAACUGCUUUUGAAACUGCGUAGCUUGAGUGAAGUAGAGGUAGGCGGAAUUCCCGGUGUAGCGGUGAAAUGCGUAGAGAUCGGGAGGAACACCAGUGGCGAAGGCGGCCUACUGGGCUUUAACUGACGCUGAGGCACGAAAGCGUGGGUAGCAAACAGGAUUAGAUACCCUGGUAGUCCACGCUGUAAACG